UCGAGUCAUAUAAAAUUAAUUCAUUAAUAAAUGUAACUUAAGCGUAGCUUAGGUACGUUGGCUUAGUUACCCCAACGUAGUGUUAAGCUAACGGCCGUACGGGUAUCUUUUUUUCUUAUUGUUUCUUAUUGUAUCGUCGUUUAAGUCCUUUGUUGUAUCCGGCCGUAGGCCGGAUACAAAACAUAGCUUAACCGUAUAACUAGGUUACGUAUUUUCCAUAAAAAACGUGCAGUAGCUAAUAAUUAUUACGAUAGCGAAGCCAUUUAAAAGUAACGCAAGGCCCUUGGUUAAAUUUACCUUAAAAGUCGCUAGUUUCUUGAAGGAGAAUCUAACGAACUACUUCAGCGAGCUAGCGCUGUGAAUAAGUUCUUUUCCUUAAUGUUAGCUUAAGUUUGGCUUCCAUCCCCUUUAGUGUUCUUCUUCUUCCCCUAAAGGGGAACUUUAGUUCCCCUUUAGGGGAUGAACUAAAGGGGAAGAAGGUGGGAUGAACUAAAGGGGAAGACUUUGGGGUUCUUCCCCUAAAGGGGAACUUUAGUGUUCUUCUUCUUCUUCGUCUUCUUUAGUUCCCCUAAAGGGGAUGAACCAAAGUCUCUUCUUCUUCCCCUUUAGGGGACUCCGUCUUCUUUAGUUCCCCUAAAGGGGAUGAAGAAGUGCUCCCCUUCUUCCCCUUUAGUUCAUCCCCUUUAGUUCAUCCCCCUUUAGGGGAACUAAAGGGGAUGAACUANAGGGGUGAAAACGAAGGGGAAGAAGAAGGGGUUCCCCUAAAGGGGAAGAACACACCCCAAAGUCUCUUCUUCUUCCCCUAAAGGGGAAGAAGGGGUUCCCCUUUAGGGGAAGAACACACCCCAAAGUCUCUUCUUCUUCCCCUAAAGGGGACUCCGUCUUCUUUAGUUCCCCUAAAGGGGAUGAAGAAGUGCUCCCCUUCUUCCCCUUUAGGGGAAGAAGUGCUCCCCUUCUUCCCCUAAAGGGGACUCCGUCCCCUUUAGUUCCCCUAAAGGGGUGAAAACGAAGGGGAAGAAGAAGGGGUUCCCCUAAAGGGGAAGAACACACCCAAAGUCUCUUCUUCGUUUUCUUCGUCUUCUUUAGUUCCCCUAAAGGGGAUGAACCAAAGUCUCUUCUUCUUCAUCCCCUUUAGGGGAACUAAAGGGGACUCCGUCUUCUUUAGUUCCCCUAAAGGGGAUGAAGAAGUGCUCCCCUUCUUCCCCUUUAGUUCAUCCCCUUUAGUUCAUCCCCUUNNNNNNNNNNNNNNNNNNNNNNNNNNNNNNNNNNNNNNNNNNNNNNNNNNGAACUAAAGGGGAAGAAGUCCCCUUUAGGGGAAGAAGGGGUUCUUCCCCUAAAGGGGAACUAAAGGGGAAGAAGUCCCCUUUAGGGGAAGAAGGGGUUCUUCCCCUAAAGGGGAACUUUAGUUCAUCCCCUUUAGGGGAACUAAAGGGGAAGAAGAAGAAGAAGAAGAAGAAGAAGAAGAAGAAGAAGAAGAAGAAGAAGAAGAAGAAGAAGAAGAAGAAGAACGAAGGGCAGCAACGUUAAGUUACUACUUGGCGCGUGCGCUUGGCACCUUGGCCUUUGUUAAAUUAUAUAAGUUACCAGUACGGCCGUGUAUGCUAAGCAAUUUGAUAAUAACUGAUCUUUUGUACAAAUAAAUUUUUUUACACAGUCGAAAAAUUGGCGUUUUAGUUAAAAAAAAUUGCGUUGCACGAUGAUCCAGCCGACGGCCGGAUCAUUUACUCAAGCACUUCCCCUUUGGGGAUGCGUUACUCAACUGAACGGCGUGCCUAAAAUUCAAAGGUAGUUUCUAUGAACAUAUUUCUUACAACGAACUUACAAACAACGAAGCCUUCGUGCUUAAGGGUAAGGUUCUUCAUCCCCUAAAGGGGAACCGAAGGGGGACGCAGGGGCCUCCUUUUAUGUCCGUUGUAGUGAACGACCUAGGGUCUUCGACCCUUGUUUGUCUUCCCCGAAGGGGAGAACAUAAGUUUGGGCCUUUGGCUUUGUAGUUUAGUAGUAAAACNGGUGUGUACUUAUGUUUGUUAUAUAUAGCCUACGGCUUUGUGUCAAUCGCCUUGCCCUGACGACUACGUUUGGUUAUAGCUUAACGCAGUUAAGCUACCUUUUCAUUCGCGAGAAACCUGGCUGAAGGCCGCGGAUGAUC
rnacentral:lncRNA from 1 species